rnacentral:rRNA from 1 species
UACGAAGGGGGCUAGCGUUGUUCGGAAUUACUGGGCGUAAAGGGCGUGUAGGCGGUUUGUUAAGUUUGGCGUGAAAGCUCUCGGCUAAACCGGGAGAGGUCGUUGGAUACUGGCAAACUAGAGGACGGUAGAGGCGUGUGGAAUUCCGGGUGUAGUGGUGAAAUGCGUAGAGAUCCGGGGGAACACCAGUGGCGAAGGCGACACGCUGGGCCGUACCUGACGCUAAAGCGCGACAGCAUGGGGAGCAAACGGG